CCCUAUGGGGCGCACCAGUCGCGAAAACUCCGCAAUGUGGGAAACCACGACGGGGGAACUCCCAGUGCGUGCACUUUGUGUACGCUGUUCUCGUGCCUAAAAAGCACGAGAAGUAAGGGCCGGGUAAGACGGGUGCCAGCCGCCGCGGUAAUACCCGCGGCCCGAGUGGUGCUCAUUAUUAUUGAGUCUAAAACGUCCGUAGCCGGUCGGGUAGAUUCCUGGGUAAAUCGAACCGCUCAACGGUUCGAAUUCCGGGGAGACCGUCCGACUUGGGACCGGGAGAGGCGCGAGGUACUCCUGGGGUAGGGGUAAAAUCCUGUAAUCCUGGGAGGACCACCAGUGGCGAAGGCGUCGCGCUAGAACGGAUCCGACGGUCAGGGACGAAGCCCAGGGGCGCAAACGGGAUUAGAUACCCCGGUAGUCCUGGGUGUAAACGCUGCAGGCUUGGUGUCGGGGGUCCUACGGGGGCGCCCGGUGCCGGAGCGAAGGUGUUAAGCCUGCUACUUGGGGAGUACGGUCGCAAGACUGAAACUUAAAGGAAUUGGCGAGGGAGCACCGCAACGGGAGGAGCGUGCGGUUCAAUUGGAUUCAGCGCCGGAAAACUCACCGGGGGCGACCCUUACAUGAAGGCCAGGCUGAUGACCU
rnacentral:rRNA from 1 species